AGUGAACGCUGGCGGUAGGCCUAACACAUGCAAGUCGAACGGCAGCACAGUAAGAGCUUGCUCUUACGGGUGGCGAGUGGCGGACGGGUGAGGAAUACAUCGGAAUCUACUUUUUCGUGGGGGAUAACGUAGGGAAACUUACGCUAAUACCGCAUACGACCUACGGGUGAAAGCAGGGGAUCUUCGGACCUUGCGCGAUUGAAUGAGCCGAUGUCGGAUUAGCUAGUUGGCGGGGUGAAGGCCCACCAAGGCGACGAUCCGUAGCUGGUCUGAGAGGAUGAUCAGCCACACUGGAACUGAGACACGGUCCAGACUCCUACGGGAGGCAGCAGUGGGGAAUAUUGGACAAUGGGCGCAAGCCUGAUCCAGCCAUACCGCGUGGGUGAAGAAGGCCUUCGGGUUGUAAAGCCCCUUUGUUGGGAAAGAAAAGCAGCAGGUUAAUACCCCGCUGUUCUGACGGUACCCAAAGAAUAAGCACCGGCUAACUUCGUG
rnacentral:rRNA from 1 species